rnacentral:rRNA from 1 species
UAAAGAUUCAUCGGCUGCGGAUGGCCAUGCGGCGCAUUAGCUAGUCGGCGGGGUAACGGCCCACCGAGGCGACGAUGCGUAGGGGUUCUGAGAGGAAGGUCCCCCACACUGGUACUGAGACACGGACCAGACUCCUACGGGAGGCAGCAGUGAGGAAUAUUGGUCAAUGGCCGGGAGGCUGAACCAGCCAAGUCGCGUGAGGGAAGACGGCCUACGGGUUGUAAACCUCUUUUGUCAGGGAGCAAGAGGCGGGUCGAGACCUGCUGUGAGAGUACCUGAAGAAAAAGCAUCGGCUAACUCCGUGCCAGCAGCCGCGGUAAUACGGAGGAUGCGAGCGUUAUCCGGAUUUAUUGGGUUUAAAGGGUGCGCAGGCGGAGGCACAAGUCAGCGGUAAAAUCGCGGGGCUCAACCCCGCUCCGCCGUUGAAACUGUGUCCCUUGAGUGCGCGAAGGGUAGGCGGAAUGCGUGGUGUAGCGGUGAAAUGCAUAGAUAUCACGCAGAACUCCGAUCGCGAAGGCAGCCUACCGGCGCGCAACUGACGCUCAUGCACGAAAGCGUGGGUAUCGAACAGGAUUAGAUACCCUGGUAGUCCACGCAGUAAACGAUGAAUGCUAUCUGUCCGGCCGGAAUGACGGCUGG